rnacentral:lncRNA from 1 species
UCCUCCCCGCCAGCCAGCUUCUGUAGCGCAACGGCUUUCGCUUUACUUCAUGAGACCAUGGGGGGCUCUCCAGAGUGGUGGCCAGGAUGGCCCCGAGCCCGCGAAAACCCAGCCUCCAGCACCUCAGGGUCCGCAGCAGACUCAGCCAGAAUCUGGCCCGUGGGGGCCACUGGACGAUGUGCGCUUUCUAAUCGCCUGCACGUCCUGGUACUGACCCGGCUACCCCUGGCCCUCGUGCCCUCCUGGGCCUGACCUAGCUUUUAUCUCCUCACCCUGUGAUUUCCUGUCUCACUCCCUCUGGGCAGAGAGAGAUUCAAGAUAGAUCAUGGAGACUAAAAGGCCCACAGGGCCACUUCAGGGGAUUGCACCACAACUUCAGACUUGUUCCCUUCCUCGACGGCCCCCAACCAGCUCAAGCCCCCUUUAUCUCUGACCAUGGGCAGCCUUCCUGAAGCAGAAGAGCUAGGACCAGAUGAGGCCUCCUAGAAGGAUCAUGACGCUGUUGAAUUCUGGUUUCUCCCUCACUAGAACUGAGCUGUUGCAGGUGUCCCAGGCCAUGGCCGCAUGUGCUGGUCUCCAGAGAACCUUACCACUGUGACCCUCCCACACUCCUGAGGUUCCUGGGGGCGGGGGUAGGGACAUUGAUUGCUAGUUAGAAGAUGAAUGAGGCAACCCCAGAACUACAUUCCCAAGCCUCCCUUUUUCUCCUGAAGCUUCUUUAGGGCACACAUAUGUCCUGGUCUUUGUUCCUACACCCCAGGGAAAAGACACUGUAUUUCUGUUUUAUUUAGAAAUGAUUUAAAAAAAACAUUGUACACAGGCUGAUCAGUG